CCUACGGGGGGCAGCAGUGGGGAAUAUUGCACAAUGGGGGAAACCCUGAUGCAGCGACGCCGCGUGAGUGAAGAAGUAUUUCGGUAUGUAAAGCUCUAUCAGCAGGGAAGAAAAUGACGGUACCUGAUUAAGAAGCCCCGGCUAACUACGUGCCAGCAGCCGCGGUAAUACGGAGGGGGCAAGCGUGAACCGGAUUUACUGGGUGGAAAGGGAGCGGAGACGGCAGCACAAGUCUGGAGUGAAAUGCCGGGGCUUAACCCCGGAAAUGCUUUGGAAACUGUGCAGCUAGAGUGCAGGAGAGGUAAGUGGAAUUCCUAGUGUAGCGGUGAAAUGCGUAGAUAUUAGGAGGAACACCAGUGGCGAAGGCGGCUUACUGGACUGUAACUGACGUUGAGGCUCGAAAGCGUGGGGAGCAAACAGGAUUAGAUACCCUGGUAGUC
rnacentral:rRNA from 1 species